rnacentral:rRNA from 1 species
GAUGAACGCUGGCGGCGUGCCUAAUACAUGCAAGUCGAGCGAACGGACGAGAAGCUUGCUUCUCUGAUGUUAGCGGCGGACGGGUGAGUAACACGUGGAUAACCUACCUAUAAGACUGGGAUAACUUCGGGAAACCGGAGCUAAUACCGGAUAAUAUUUUGAACCGCAUGGUUCAAAAGUGAAAGACGGUCUUGCUGUCACUUAUAGAUGGAUCCGCGCUGCAUUAGCUAGUUGGUAAGGUAACGGCUUACCAAGGCAACGAUGCAUAGCCGACCUCAGAGGGUGAUCGGCCACACUGGAACUGAGACACGGUCCAGACUCCUACGGGAGGCAGCAGUAGGGAAUCUUCCGCAAUGGGCGAAAGCCUGACGGAGCAACGCCGCGUGAGUGAUGAAGGUCUUCGGAUCGUAAAACUCUGUUAUUAGGGAAGAACAUAUGUGUAAGUAACUGUGCACAUCUUGACGGUACCUAAUCAGAAAGCCACGGCUAACUACGUG